rnacentral:rRNA from 1 species
GUGGGUAGUUUGACUGGGGCGGUCUCCUCCUAAAGAGUAACGGAGGAGCACGAAGGUUGGCUAAUCCUGGUCGGACAUCAGGAGGUUAGUGCAAUGGCAUAAGCCAGCUUGACUGCGAGCGUGACGGCGCGAGCAGGUGCGAAAGCAGGUCAUAGUGAUCCGGUGGUUCUGAAUGGAAGGGCCAUCGCUCAACGGAUAAAAGGUACUCCGGGGAUAACAGGCUGAUACCGCCCAAGAGUUCAUAUCGACGGCGGUGUUUGGCACCUCGAUGUCGGCUCAUCACAUCCUGGGGCUGAAGUAGGUCCCAAGGGUAUGGCUGUUCGCCAUUUAAAGUGGUACGCGAGCUGGGUUUAGAACGUCGUGAGACAGUUCGGUCCCUAUCUGCCGUGGGCGCUGGAGAACUGAGGGGGGCUGCUCCUAGUACGAGAGGACCGGAGUGGACGCAUCACUGGUGUUCGGGUUGUCAUGCCAA